UUUUAUUAUAGACAUGAGCUGCCUCCCUCCCAUAGUGCUUGUUAUUAUGAAGUCAGGAUCUGUAGACUGAGCCCACAAUGCUGCACAGGCAAGGAGCUAGCUGUCCAUUCCCCUCAUGGAUGAGAUAGCAUGGAAUCUUUUGAGGCUGUAACUGACCAUUGUCACAUCAUCCUGAGUGCUGCAUUUUUUAGGGAACUUGAUCAUUCUUCUUCCAUCAAUAUGUAUAUUAUUUGGUAUUGAGAAAUCCACAUUAACAAAGUAUGAAAAAAAAAACACUUCUGUCACAGCUUUUGAGAUGAGUUCUGUUUUUAUGUGGUCUAUGAUGGACUUUUGCUCCUGAGGUUAAAGAAACUUCUGUUUCAUCCUCUCAGUACCUCCAUGGAUUAAAGGUGUCUCCCUUUAUAACAGGCUAUAAUCACUUGAUAUUGUUCUUUUGACCAAAAGAUUACUGUGGCCAUACUCUAGAGGAAAUUGUCCUGAAUGAUACAAUGGAACUCUGGAAUAUGGCAAUAAGAAUCAUUUUCUUUUUUUUUCCCAUUUUUAUUAGGUAUUUAGCUCAUUUACAUUUCCAAUGCGAUACCAAAAGUCCCCCAUACCCAUCCACCCCCAUUCCCCUACCCACCCACUCCCCCUUUUUGGCCCUGGCGUUCCCCUGUACUGGGGCAUAUAAAGUUUGCGUGUCCAAUGGGCCUCUCUUUCCAGAUGGCCGACUAGGCCAUCUUUUGAUACAUAUGCAGCUAGAGUCAAGAGCUCAUUAAGAAUCAUUUUCUUAUUACAAACUACAGCUGGAAUUUUUGAAAAUUCCUCUUUUAUACUCUACUAUCUCGCCCUGUACUAUAGAGAAUACACAGUAAAGCCCACAGCUUUCAUUCUCUUUUACCUAAUCAUAGCCAACAUCUUGGUCAUUCUCCCUUCAGGAGUGACCCAAAUAUUGUCAUUUUGGGGACUGAAGGAGUUUCUGAAUAAUUUUGGAUGUGAGCUCCUACUGUACAUUAAUGGAUUUGGUAGAAGAGUGUCCAUUUGCACUACCUGUGUUUUGAGUGUCUUCCAAAACAUAACUAUCAAUCCUAGGAAACAUUGUUAGAAAGAUCAUAAAGUCAUAGCUAUAAAGGUCAUUGACUAAUCCAUUCCCCUCUUCCGGGUAUUGCACAUCUUGAUUAACUUCAUUUUCUUUGUACACACAACUAUUAAAAGGCAUCAAAAAUGUCACAAGAACACCAGAUUUUGGAUACUGUUUUCAUAUGGGGAGUGACUAUAUCAGUGACUUCCUGUAUGCAGCAUUGAUGGUGUGCCCUAAGGUUUUCAUUUCUCUGCUUAUUGCUUGGUCCAGUUCUAUGAUUGUCAUUAUGUAUAGACAAGCAGAGUGUUCAACAUAUCCGCACAUCACCCAGUUCCUUCAGAACCUCCUCUGAAUCCAGGGCUACCCAGAACAACCUUGCACUAUUAUCUACAAUUCUGACUUGCUAUACUCUUUCCUUCAUCGUAAGAUGCUGCAUUACUCAUUUGCAUGAUUGCAAUUGGUGGCUGAUUAAUAUCAAUCAUCUCAUUUCUCUGUGUUUUCCUUUUUUUUUUGCUCCAUUUGUUCGCAUCAGUCAUUACUCCAUUGUGUACAGGUUCAGUUUGCACUGGUGAAGAAAAAAUAACUGUCUCCUAAUUUAAAUAUACAUAUGUACAUAAAAGUGUUUCUCAUUAUCCAAUUGUUUAUCCAUGUAUCACCCUAAGAGAUCAAUAAGGAAAGUUAAGGCAUUGUCUAUGUAAAUGAACCAAAAUGUGCUUGGGAGUUUUCUCAGCUGCUUGAAUGAGCAUCUUGCAUGAGCUCAUAAUACUGUGUUUGGCCCACUGUACUCUUCAAUGUAUAUCUACUAUAUUUUUUUCAUUGGCCAGAUGAUAGUGGAGAACAAACUGUCAAGAAAGCUACACUACUUUUGGCUUUCAUUCUGUCAGGAAUUAUUGGCUGCUUGACUGAUGCACAGACAUGUUGAAGGUACCAUGUACUAACUGAAAGACAAACUGAUAAGAUGGAUGACCAUAACUUUGUGCUUCAGGUGACACCACCCAUGAAAGAUAAUCUAGCCUGCACCAGAAAAAGGAAAUUUCUUCAUGUUAAUUUCCAUGAUACUUUUUUAUGCAGGUGCUCCAGAAACAUUCCUGUUUGAUGGUUCUUAACUUUUUCCAAUGGUCUUCAAAAAAGUCUGGGAAUAUAGACAUCUCCACUAGCCAUUUAAGACGAAAUGUUUGAUUCAAUUUUUUUUUUACUUUGUACAAAAAUCAACUAAAAAUGAAUCCAAAUUUUUAUGUGAUCUUGAACUUUGUUUGCUAAUAUUUUUUCUUUUCUUAUUAAUCAUACAUAGUUUUUCUCAUUAUAUAUAAUCUGAAUACAGCUUCCUCUCCCUCUACUCCUUCUCAUUCCUCCCACCUCUUCUAUCUAUAUCUAUCUCAUUUUAGUCUUAUUAGGAAAGGUCAGUCUUCUAAGACAUAACUAUGAAUCACAACAAAAUAA
rnacentral:lncRNA from 1 species